AGAGUUUGAUCAUGGCUCAGAUUGAACGCUGGCGGCAGGCCUAACACAUGCAAGUCGAGCGGUAGCACAGAGAGCUUGCUCUCGGGUGACGAGCGGCGGACGGGUGAGUAAUGUCUGGGAAACUGCCUGAUGGAGGGGGAUAACUACUGGAAACGGUAGCUAAUACCGCAUAACGUCGCAAGACCAAAGAGGGGGACCUUCGGGCCUCUUGCCAUCAGAUGUGCCCAGAUGGGAUUAGCUAGUAGGUGGGGUAACGGCUCACCUAGGCGACGAUCCCUAGCUGGUCUGAGAGGAUGACCAGCCACACUGGAACUGAGACACGGUCCAGACUCCUACGGGAGGCAGCAGUGGGGAAUAUUGCACAAUGGGCGCAAGCCUGAUGCAGCCAUGCCGCGUGUAUGAAGAAGGCCUUCGGGUUGUAAAGUACUUUCAGCGGGGAGGAAGGCGAUAAGGUUAAUAACCUUGUCGAUUGACGUUACCCGCAGAAGAAGCACCGGCUAACUCCGUGCCAGCAGCCGCGGUAAUACGGAGGGUGCAAGCGUUAAUCGGAAUUACUGGGCGUAAAGCGCACGCAGGCGGUCUGUCAAGUCGGAUGUGAAAUCCCCGGGCUCAACCUGGGAACUGCAUUCGAAACUGGCAGGCUAGAGUCUUGUAGAGGGGGGGUAGAAUUCCAGGUGUAGCGGUGAAAUGCGUAGAGAUCUGGAGGAAUACCGGUGGCGAAGGCGGCCCCCUGGACAAAGACUGACGCUCAGGUGCGAAAGCGUGGGGAGCAAACAGGAUUAGAUACCCUGGUAGUCCACGCCGUAAACGAUGUCGACUUGGAGGUUGUGCCCUUGAGGCGUGGCUUCCGGAGCUAACGCGUUAAGUCGACCGCCUGGGGAGUACGGCCGCAAGGUUAAAACUCAAAUGAAUUGACGGGGGCCCGCACAAGCGGUGGAGCAUGUGGUUUAAUUCGAUGCAACGCGAAGAACCUUACCUACUCUUGACAUCCAGAGAACUUAGCAGAGAUGCUUUGGUGCCUUCGGGAACUCUGAGACAGGUGCUGCAUGGCUGUCGUCAGCUCGUGUUGUGAAAUGUUGGGUUAAGUCCCGCAACGAGCGCAACCCUUAUCCUUUGUUGCCAGCGGUCCGGCCGGGAACUCAAAGGAGACUGCCAGUGAUAAACUGGAGGAAGGUGGGGAUGACGUCAAGUCAUCAUGGCCCUUACGAGUAGGGCUACACACGUGCUACAAUGGCGCAUACAAAGAGAAGCGACCUCGCGAGAGCAAGCGGACCUCAUAAAGUGCGUCGUAGUCCGGAUUGGAGUCUGCAACUCGACUCCAUGAAGUCGGAAUCGCUAGUAAUCGUAGAUCAGAAUGCUACGGUGAAUACGUUCCCGGGCCUUGUACACACCGCCCGUCACACCAUGGGAGUGGGUUGCAAAAGAAGUAGGUAGCUUAACCUUCGGGAGGGCGUUUACCACUUUGUGAUUCAUGACUGGGGUGAAGUCGUAACAAGGUAACCGUAGGGGAACCUGCGGUUGGAUCACCU
rnacentral:rRNA from 1 species